CUCCUCUCAGGAUCAUAUCUGGAGAGUUUCCAGUACUCUACCAGUCCCAGCUACAAGAAGGAAACUAAAGCAGAGGCAUACCCAUUCCAUUCCUAGCUUGGUCAGUGGCUGGCGAGUGGCAGGAAAUCUGCUACAAGU